rnacentral:rRNA from 1 species
AUUGAACGCUGGCGGCAGGCUUAACACAUGCAAGUCGAGCGGGGAAAGGUAGCUUGCUACCUGACCUAGCGGCGGACGGGUGAGUAAUGCUUAGGAAUCUGCCUAUUAGUGGGGGACAACAUCUCGAAAGGGAUGCUAAUACCGCAUACGUCCUACGGGAGAAAGCAGGGGACCUUCGGGCCUUGCGCUAAUAGAUGAGCCUAAGUCGGAUUAGCUAGUUGGUGGGGUAAAGGCCUACCAAGGCGACGAUCUGUAGCGGGUGUGAGAGGAUGAUCCGCAACACUGGGAAUGAGACAAGGGCCAGAGUCCUACGGGAGGCAGCGGUGGGGAAUAUUGGACAAUGGGGGGAACCCUGAUCUAGCCAUGCCGCGUGUGUGAAGAAGGCCUUUUGGUUGUAAAGCACUUUAAGCGAGGAGGAGGCUACCGAGAUUAAUACUCUUGGAUAGUGGACGUUACUCGCAGAAUAAGCACCGGCUAACUCUGUGCCAGCAGCCGCCGUAACAC